UACGUAGGGCGCAAGCGUUGGUCCGGAAUUAUUGGGCGUAAAGAGCUCGUAGGCGGUUUGUCGCGUCUGCUGUGAAAACCUAAGGCUCAACCUUGGGCUUGCAGUGGGUACGGGCAGACUAGAGUGCGGUAGGGGUGACUGGAAUUCCUGGUGUAGCGGUGGAAUGCGCAGAUAUCGAGGGAGGAACACCGAGUGGCGAAGGCAGGUC
rnacentral:rRNA from 1 species